AGAAAAAGCUUUCGAUUUGAAAUCAAUAUUUCAUAGCUAAAGGAGUCAGCAGGGAAUUUCUAAGAAAUAUUCUUUUCUCGAAUGCAAAAAAUGUAAAUACAAAUGUUAUCUAGAGAACACAUUUCUGUUAAAAAACCACAAAACCGAAUCACACUCAAAUUUCAAAGUUGUUUUCGCUCCUGGAUUUAUGGCAAAAACUUUGUCAGCCAACGGAACAAGAGCAACAUCAACAAGGAGAACAACAGCAGUACAAGGAGCACACGCACAAUGACACCAUGGAGACGCAUUAAGCACACGAGCAAGUGGCAAAUUGUGGAUCGCUGUUGUGGCUGUUCCCGGCCAGCUGUUAAUGGCAACAGUUGUCAAGCAUCACGUAGGCAGCCUGACGGAGCGAGGCGGGGCAAGGCGAGGCAUAGCCUCAAAUAGGUAUCAGUAGGUCCAUACAUAAAUAAAUGCUGUCAGCAGGUA